GAUGAACGCUGGCGGCGUGCCUAAUACAUGCAAGUCGAGCGAACGGACGAGAAGCUUGCUUCUCUGAUGUUAGCGGCGGACGGGUGAGUAACACGUGGAUAACCUACCUAUAAGACUGGGAUAACUUCGGGAAACCGGAGCUAAUACCGGAUAAUAUUUUGAACCGCAUGGUUCAAAAGUGAAAGACGGUCUUGCUGUCACUUAUAGAUGGAUCCGCGCUUCAUUAGCUAGUUGGUAAGGUAACGGCUUACCAAGGCAACGAUGCAUAGCCGACCUGAGAGGGUGAUCGGCCACACUGGAACUGAGACACGGUCCAGACUCCUACGGGAGGCAGCAGUAGGGAAUCUUCCGCAAUGGGCGAAAGCCUGACGGAGCAACGCCGCGUGAGUGAUGAAGGUCUUCGGAUCGUAAAACUCUGUUAUUAGGGAAGAAUAUAUGUGUAAGUAACUGUGCACAUCUUGACGGUACCUAAUCAGAAAGCCACGGCUAACUACGUG
rnacentral:rRNA from 1 species